rnacentral:rRNA from 1 species
GCGUGAGCGAUGAAGGCCUUAGGGUUGUAAAGCUCUUUCAGCGGGGAAGAUAAUGACGGUACCCGCAGAAGAAGCCCCGGCUAACUCCGUGCCAGCAGCCGCGGUAAUACGGAGGGGGCUAGCGUUGUUCGGAAUUACUGGGCGUAAAGCGCACGUAGGCGGAUCGGACAGUCGGGGGUGAAAUCCCGGGGCUCAACCCCGGAACGGCCUCCGAAACUCCCGGUCUGGAGGAUGAGAGAGGCGAGUGGAAUUCCGAGUGUAGAGGUGAAAUUCGU